CGCCUAAAAACAAUUAACAAGAAACACAAAAAUAAAAAAUAAAUUCUAAAAAAACAAAUGCUUAAAACAAAUAACUAAAACAAUUAGCUAAUGAAAACGACACUUACUACAACAACAAAAACAACUAACAAUUACUAAUUUCUACAAGUUCCCACCCCACACUUAGAUCAUGUAUUGUCCUUAGUGCAUGCACAAAUUGACAAAACAAUAAACAAAAAGAGUAGGGUGCAAGGACACUCCCUGAUCAAGCAUCAUCUUCAUCCUCAGACGCUCUCCACUCUACAUCAUGUUCGUCCUCCUCCUUCUCAUCAUCUCCCUCGUCAUCUGACUGCCCUGGCUCAGCCUCAGACUGCUCAGGUGUGUUAAUAUAUGUGAACCAGUUUGACUGAGCGUAGAGUUUAAGAAAAAAUAAAGACUUUUGAAAUUUGUGAUCCUAUACAAAUUAAAAAGGGGAUCAGAGUAUUUGUGUGGUUAUAAAAAUUCUUAUUAAAUGUAAAAUUAUACGUUUGAGGUAAAUUGUUUCUAAAUUUAGAAAGGGGUCAUUUUUUUGGAACGGACCAAAACAGGAAUAGGUUCACGUAAAUUGCAAAGGAGAGAAUAGUAAAUUAGAGUACACCUAGUGAUGGUAUUAAAUAAACAAAUCUUGAUCUGCUUUGCAAAAAUUGGUCCAAACCAAGAAUCUCAACUCAUGGGCAAUAUCUGAUCAGGCUCUAUUGGUUUUGCUACAUAAUUGUGAAGCCAAUUAGCAAAACUAAUGGAAAAAAAAACAUCUGCAUGAAAAUGUAAACAGAUUCAGGGUGUGUUUGGUACGAAGAAAAAUAUUUUUCGGAAAAUAUUUUCUAAUUUUUCUAUAUUUGGUUGGCUUAAAUGUUUUGAAAAAUAUUUAUUUUAUCAAACAACAAUAAAAAUAUUUUCUAAAACUCCUUUUCAACCUUUCCCACCCCAUCCCUCUCUCCAAAAAAGGCUUUCUUUUUUAAAUUUUAAUUUUUCCGUUACCACUCACCACUACCUCUCUACCCCACCCCCACCCCCCUUAACGCAAAAAAAAAAAUUAAUUUUUUACCUUAUUUUAUUAUUCUUGCAAUUUCAAAUUUUCUUUUUUUAUUCGUUUUUCUGUACCACCCGCCCUCACCCCGCACAAUUUUAUUUUUGUAAUUUCAUAUUUUUGUCUUUUUAUUUUUCUGCCCCAUCCCCCAUGAAUUAAGCAACUGACUUUCAGAUACUGUGACAUGGAAAAACAAGCAAAUAACUAUGCGACACGUGGAAAAUUAACUAUACUGAUGCCCUCAAAAUACAAACUUUGACCUGGAGAUCAUUCUGCAAGAUAGUCGAUAUAAUGUCAGACCAAGCAAAGUUGCAGCAGUAAAUAGGCAUAUGGAAUCACUUAAACAUGGCCGGGCCAGAGUUCAUAUUUGUGUUUUGCACUUUCGCGUCAAUCACCUAGAGCACAACAAUAAUAGACUAGGUGACGUGGUGAUGAAACACAAUUACAGGGAGACCAAUAAAAUUGCUGACAUGCUGCCGAAGGAAGGGGAAAGGAAAAAAAAAAUUUGAAGAUGUUUUUUUAACAACAGUUCCUUCGGUGUUUGUCAAUCAUGUUCUCUGCACAGACAUCGCAGGAACUAUGUUUGAAAGGAAAACAAUGGGCUGUAAUAGUGAUAUUAAUAGCAUGCUAGGGGGGGAGGAUAUCGUAUACCCGCCUACAAACACUCUUUUUUACACCCUAACGGAUAGUUUGUUUUAAUUAUAACAUGCAUCCGCAUAACAAAAAUAAUAAAAAAUUGAAAGUAGACUCCUAAAAACAAUGUCAAGGUUGGUUAAUAAAGUCUUUCAUCCUUUUAAUGAAUUCAGUACUGUUAAUACAAAAACAAAAUACAUGAUUGGAGCGUCCAAUUCUAAAGGAAUAUAAUCGUUGUUUGCUGAUUCACCUUACUUCAUAGUAGGAACUUGCUACCUAAAAUGUUGUGUUAGCUACCCCUUUAUGGUCUGCCUCUAGGAAUGGUGAACAAAAGCCUUACGUACAUGCUUUCAACCUGGUAAUCACCUAUAGAAAAUUGAACAAUUUACACUUAACCUUUGACGUCUUCCUUAUUUACUGUUUGCACCCGAUCAUAGUUCAGACGUAAAACUAGCAGCAUAUCCCCUUUGUCUAAGAGUAGGUAAUUACGGAGUAGACCAAUCAACUCUCAAAAUGUAACAGAAGAUCUGUAGCUUCAAGCAGCAACAAUAAGACCCUUUAUUACAUGAACACUAGAAUACUGUUUCCGUGCUAACAAAGACAACAACAACAACAACAACUCAGUAUAAUCCCACUUAGUGGGAUCUGAGAAGGGUAGUGUGUACGCAGACCUUACCUCUACCCUGGGAGAGACUGUUUCCAAAUAAACCCCCGGCAUCCUUCCCUCCAAGAACUUCCCACCUUGCUCUUUGUUAAGAUGAAGAAACCCCAUGCUAAUUUUGUGAUCCAUGAAAUCACACAAGGGGUAGAAGAAGAAAGGAAGAAGAUGAAGAAAAGUACAGAAAUGAAGAUGAAGAAGAGUGGUCUUCGAUAUUUCUGAGGUUGUCUAAUAUUUGUUUGGAUAAGAAGCAACUGGGCCUUCUGAUAUUGGGCUUAAGAUAAUUUGCUACUAGCUGGGCCAGUUGCAAGAUAUCAUAUAUGGGUUGGGUGCAGACAGCUCUUAUCUUUUAUUUUCCAUAUUCUUUUAUUAAUUUGUAAAUAUCAUGUGAUUAGUUAUAUAGUAGCCAAUAGAAUAUGGACAAGUGUAU
rnacentral:lncRNA from 1 species